GCCGUGCGGCGAAGGGUGGUAAAGCAGGUAGGUCAGGCUGUGCGAGGGCCAGCAGAAAUAAGCCUAGUCGCGCGCGCCUGUGGUUGUUUGUGGCGCCCUAACGCACACACCAACCCUCCUUUCUCUUUCUCUCUCUAUCUUCUUCUCCUCCUUCCUCUUUCUCGCCCUCUCGUCCGGUUUCCGGAUUUUUCCUUCGGUACAAGUCGUCAACCCUCGCCGCCGAGCUGCGGUCAUCCACCUGGGCGCCUGCUCGAAACUCGAAACGCGCAGUCACCGGUCUCAUUGCUCUUAAUGAUCCUGACGGGGGUCGCCUCGUCGGCGCUGAUGACCUCUAUCGAGAACCAGGCAACACGCAAUGUUGAGUCGCUAUUAAAACUUAAAGAGUACCUGGAUUUUCAUCAUCGGUUUGUUUCGAGCAAAGCGCAUUAACUUGAAAAGAUUUGCACAAGUUGUAAAAUAUGUAAUGAUAAUAAGUAAUGCUUUUCCAUUAGUUCAAAAAAUCUUUUUUAAAAAUCAGUUUGCUGUGUAUUUAGCUAAUAUAUCACGGUAUGAUCAAUUAGCUAUAUAUUAAUGUAAUUUUCAUUGUCUAUACAUUUAUAAUCAUCAUCGAAUAAUAGAAUCUCGAAACUGUCAAUUAUAAUUUAUCUCAAAAUGAAUAGUUUUCAAAUAUUAUUAAGACAGAACAUUCUUGGAAAAUAAAGACUCUCAUUUUACUAAUCAUUGUACUCGUUGAUAUUCUCUGCAACACCUUGAUUCAUCAGUCACGUUCCAUCGUGCACAUUGAAUUUCGCAGACGCCCUUGAAUUUCGGUUGGUCUGCUGUUGGCGUUCCGGACGCGCAUCGAGCGGCAGUUCUUAUUUUACUCACGCCCCUGAAUAAGGCCGCCGCAGAAAAGGAGAGGAGUCAAGCGAAUUCGCGAUGGCGUAGGUCGGACCCUCCUUGGCCUUGACGGUACCCUUGGAUUUCGGUCGGUGUCCUUGGCACUGAUGGCGGCCACUUGGGCCGGGUACCACUUUAUUCCCUCCACCUUCUGCAGUGCGGGGCGCAUUCUCCUUCCUCCUUCAACCUGCUCUCUUCCUGCGUCUCCUUCGCAUCUCGCUCAACGCUUUGCCUUUCCCUUUCUCUCUCUCCCUUUUCUCCCUUCCUCUUUCUCUCUGCUUUAUUUAUUUAUUCUUUUGGGCCGGCGGCCGCUCUUUGUCCCUUGGCACGCCGGCCGGUUGGCUGCUCGCUCGUCGUUGGACGUUGCUCCUUCGAAUACUUCUGCUCUCGAAACAGCAACGUUCGACGACGUCCAGUCCAGGCGAGAGCACACACAGUGACCUACCACAACUAGGCAGGAGAGAGAAAGAAAGAGGGAGUACCUACCUGGCAGGUAGGUAGGUACACACCUCACUUCGGCGGGCCCGCAAACUUCGGGUACAGUCCCUGCCAGCAUGAAACGACGAACCUUUCCAUGGCGGGAUUGGUCCCUCACUGAACCAUCUUCCAUUUUUAAUCUUGUCCCUUUAUCUCGAAGAAACAGUUUUUUAGAAGAGAAGCCCAUGACAUUUUAUUAACACAGAUAUCCUAAAAUCCCAAAAAUGUGUAUUUAGAUUUAUUUUUAUCGAAAAUUCAAUUCAAGAAUUACGUAUAUUAUUUAUUCGCAACAGUUUUCCAUUUAUUAUAUAAACGUUAAUAUCAUUUCCAUUAGAUACCAAAUCGAUUCAAGGGAUGUCUAAAAGACUUUUGAAAAAAAUGUUUUAAGUUUUCAGACGAUCUCUGGAUGGCUUUCUUAAAUACGUCUCUCCUAAAAGUAUCCUUUUCGCGCCAUUUUGAAAGGCAAUUGUCCAAAUACUGAUGCUGACGGUAACAAAACGUCACAGGUAUUUCAGAGAGUCAGAACUUCGAGAAUAGCCAAUGAAGCUAAGGGACGGAACGGGCAGAUAGAUGAAGCAAGAGCAACAUGAAAAAGAACAAGAAAACCGCGCUCAACAGCCGCAGCAACGGAGGCAGCGAGCGGCAGCAGGCGGCAGCUGCACUCGCAGAGCCAAUAACCUUGUUUCGAAUCAUCUUACUCACGUAACGUCGUUGCUAUAGUUCAACCCCAGAGGGCCGCUCGCAGGGCGGCAGGCGCCGCCCACGUUUCUAUCACGAGCGUUCGAGUGCUGCUUGAGUGAUGCUGCGAUAACGGCAGAUUGUUUAGAUAUACAGUAGAAGAUAAUGAAGAACACGGAAUUAAUUGGACAUACGUAUGAAACGAGGAACAAUCCACCUUUGAGAUCCGAGAACGCCGUCUUCGCCGAACGGGAUAAUGAACACGUGUUUUUUGUUUCUUUUCGAUUCACCGAUGGUGCUGUGUGCGGAUACAAACGUUACGAACGGCGCAAACACAAUCGGCGGAUCCAUCGGUGAAUUUAACGACGCACACGUACGCAGGCACACGUACGCGGGCGCGUGCACCUUUCCAUGCGCGUUCCAACCUGCCGCUCUUAAUUCGAACUCACGCUUCGACUGUUCCGCGUAAUGGCGAGCGUAUUUCGCGUAGGCAUGUAACAACGGAAAUUCGCGAUAAACGCGUCGGUUUUCUGAGAAGUCGGCCUACGGCCAUUGUCAAGAGGAUCUGCGUGCGGCGUCGCUCAAAAUGUUAUUAAGGCGCUGCAGAUAACAGCCCAGGCGCGGAUACGAGCCCGUGGAAGUAACAACCAAAACACACGCGAAAUCCCUCGCGCAUGACGGGACAUCGCUCGGACUCGCUCGACUGUCGAAGUGCGCUGGAUGCCGAGGCGGAAUGACUGAAUUCAAGGUGAAGCGCGUUCAUUAUUCCGCCGUGUACCGUACGUGCAAACAGUCCAGAUAUAUUUAUUUCAUUGAAAAAAGCAGCAUUUGGCCCCCUCCUAUCCUCUUCCUUCCGUCUCGCUCCCCUGCAGUGGCAGGAUUUUUGAAUUGACAGGCGCAAGACGUACUAGCGGGUGCCCGCGCGACGCGAAACGCAUUUGCGUUUUGUUUGAUUUUAGUUGUCUGACGCCAGCACGCUCGCGGAAUAUCCCGUUUGCUCGGAUGAGCGUAAUUUCGUAAUUAUUUUUUAACGGAUCUGAUGUUAGCAAAGUAGAUUUAAUAAUUCUAUGUUGUACGGUACUGCAGUAAUGUUUUUAGCCUGGAGAAGUUGUACGUUAAGGUGCUAUUAACUUGGAACUGUAGUGAUCGCGUCAAGCUUCGCCUUGCGCAUGAAUGGGAAAGUUAUGUGUGAUGAUUAUUUAGCUGCACUGUACGUCACAGAGUUAUAUAUUGUAAAUCUAUUACGAUUAAAUUAUUUUAAGUUUAA